AUGGAUUUUAAGAGACUUAAAAAUACAAAAUAAAACAUUUUAUACAUAUCCUUCUGUUAACCACUGGCAAUAUUCUUGAUUCCUUCCUUAAAUAUGGAAUCAUUUUCAUUUAGCCUGAAAAAUGCUCUUUGACAUUUUUAUGGAGCAGGAUUCUGGUGGAAUUUUUGUUUCAUUUAAUAAAAAUUUCUGUCAUAAUUUUUCUUCACUGAAAAAUAACAUUUCUACCAGAUAAAGAAUUUCAAGUUGAGAGCAUUUUACUUUCAGUACUUCAAAGAUAUCAUUCUAAUGCAUUUGACUAUAAAUCAGUGGUCACUUUUAUCUAUGACCACUACAUUACAUAACAAUAUGUCUUUUUUUUUACUCCUUAUACUUCUCAUGAUUAGUUUUCAGCAUUUUGAUUAUAACAUGUCUUAGAGUGAUUUUCUUAUUUCUUUGUGAGAUUUUUUUGAGCUUCUGGCAUCUUCAGUAGCAUUUUUAGUAUUCAUCAUAUUUAGAUAGACUUCAGGCAUUAUUAAUGUAAAUCUUGUAUCCUUCACCUCCCACCUGAACCAUUCUGAGACAGCAAUUACCCUUUGAAUAGAAAACUACUUAAUGUCUCAGAGGUCACAGAACUUUUCCACACCCCCCAUCUUUUUUUUUAAAUAUAACUAUGUUUCAGUUUGAAUAGCUCUAAUGUUCUUGUCUUCAAGUCCAUAUCUUU
rnacentral:lncRNA from 1 species